CCGCGGCUGUCCACCCUUUUGGAGACCUCCACUGAGUUGGAACCACAGGACCAACCAGUGGAGGAGGAGCUCUCUCCUGGGCAGGACACCUCUUCUCCAGAGGAUUCGCUGACCGUCCUGUUGGGCUCCAGGACCAGCAGCCUCUGUGAGGUGGACUCCCUUGCUGACCUCCUGGAGGAGGAAUCUGAGGAUAGCUGGGACCAGGAUGCAGAGGCCAGCUCCUCUUCCAGUCCAUGGGUAAGAAAGACAAA